rnacentral:rRNA from 1 species
UGGGGAAUAUUGCACAAUGGGCGCAAGCCUGAUGCAGCCAUGCCGCGUGUAUGAAGAAGGCCUUCGGGUUGUAAAGUACUUUCAGCGGGGAGGAAGGCGAUAAGGUUAAUAACCUUGUCGAUUGACGUUACCCGCAGAAGAAGCACCGGCUAACUCCGUGCCAGCAGCCGCGGUAAUACGGAGGGUGCAAGCGUUAAUCGGAAUUACUGGGCGUAAAGCGCACGCAGGCGGUCUGUCAAGUCGGAUGUGAAAUCCCCGGGCUCAACCUGGGAACUGCAUUCGAAACUGGCAGGCUAGAGUCUUGUAGAGGGGGGUAGAAUUCCAGGUGAAGCGGUGAAAUGCGUAGAGAUCUGGAGGAAUACCGGUGGCGAAGGCGGCCCCCUGGACAAAGACUGACGCUCAGGUGCGAAAGCGUGGGGAGCAAACA